GGGCGAAUAGCUCAGCUGGCCAGAGCGCUGCAUUGACAUUGCAGAGGUCGGGGGUUCAAGUCCCUCUUCGCCCA
rnacentral:tRNA from 1 species